rnacentral:misc_RNA from 1 species
GAGCUCUUUUAUGAAAUAGGUAAUUACGUCACUUAUUUACUUAUUCGGAUGAAAGGUUAAAAAACCAUUGGAAUAUAUUGCAAUUUUAAAGGACAAUAUGUUGUUUUCAUAGCUGCAGCAAAUUGGGGGUCACUUGGUUAGAAUUCCAUACAGGAUCCAAUGUUGAUUAUUCCCUUAAAAUUUACUUGCUAGUUUUGACAAAUAGAAAGGAGUAGAAAGUAAGGGACCUUCCUUGCUAGAAAAAGACAAUUGGAAUUACAAAUCAAGCAGUUGGUUGGGUUCAUAAGAAAUCCAAAAUUGCAUGGUUGAUUUCCACUAGUUGCUUCAUUACCAAGAAGCAACUUCUUGUGGUGACCAUGCCAAUAUCUUAUGUACUAGCUGUUGAGCUACAUUACAAUAUUCACUUGGAACUUAUUUCUAAUGCUGUCGAAACAUCUUGCAGCUAAGAAAUU